rnacentral:tRNA from 1 species
UGGGAUGUAGCUCAGUGAUAGAGCAUUUGUCUAUAAUGCAAGAGGCCCUGGGUUCAAUCCCUAGUAGUGCAA